GAGGUCCCGCCUGCCCAGUGACUAUAAGUUUAACGGCCGCGGUAUUUUGACCGUGCAAAGGUAGCGCAAUCACUUGUCCUUUAAAUGAAGACCUGUAUGAAUGGCACCACGAGGGCUCAACUGUCUCCUUUUUCCCGUCAAUGAAAUUGAUCUCCCCGUGCAGAAGCGGGGAUAUUUACAUAAGACGAGAAGACCCUAUGGAGCUUUAGGCACCAGACUAGCCUAUGUUAAGCACCCUUCUAUAAAAAGACAAAACUAACUAGACCCUACUCCCUAUGCCUUUGGUUGGGGCGACCGCGGGGAAAGAAAAAACCCCCAUGUGGACUGAGAGCACACUUCACUCCUACAACCCAGGGCUACAACCCUAAGAAACAGAAUUUCUGACCAACAAAUGAUCCGGUAAGACCGAUCAACGGACCGAGUUACCCUAGGGAUAACAGCGCAAUCCCCUUCUAGAGUCCAUAUCGACAAGGGGGUUUACGACCUCGAUGUUGGAUCAGGACAUCCUAUUGGUGCAGCCGCUAUUAAGGGUUCGUUUGUUCAACGAUU
rnacentral:rRNA from 1 species